rnacentral:rRNA from 1 species
AUUGAACGCUGGCGGCAGGCCUAACACAUGCAAGUCGAACGAGUGGCGGACGGGUGAGUAAUGUCUGGGAAACUGCCUGAUGGAGGGGGAUAACUACUGGACACGGUAGCUAAUACCGCAUACCAUCGGAUGUGCCCAUAUGGGUGUAGCUGGUAGGUGGGGGAAAGGCUCACCAAGGAGACGAUCCCUAGCUGGUCUGAGAGGAGGACCAGCCACACUGUAACUGAGACACGGUCCAGACUCCUACGGGAGGCAGCAGUGGGGAAUAUUGCACAAUGGGCGCAAGCCUGAUGCAGCCAUGCCGCGUGUAUGAAGAAGGCCUUCGGGUUGUAAAGUACUUUCAGCGGGGAGGCGUUACCCGCAGAAGAAGCACCGGCUAACUCCGUGCCAGCAGCCGCGGUAACUC